ACAGCUUAACCCGAUGAGCGACAUCACCAAUCCCUGAUAAUAUCUGUUCUUAUCUGUUUAAUAUCUGAUACGUCCUCUACCCCCUGGACAAUAUACUAAAUGGGUGUUCAGAGCAGGAAUUAGAAUAGGAGCUUGUUCUGUCCACUCUGCACAUUGACCUGGUAGUGCAAUGCUUCUAGGAACAGUGCACUCCCU